rnacentral:rRNA from 1 species
CCGAGUGCGAGGGCAUAUAGUCCUCGUUUUUCACCACCGUAAGGUGGUGGUGGAAUAAGUGCUGGGCAAGACCGGUGCCAGCCGCCGCGGUAAUACCGGCAGCACGAGUGAUGACCGCUAUUAUUGGGCCUAAAGCGUCCGUAGCUGGCCGCGCAAGUCUUUCGGGAAAUCUGCGGGCUUAACGGGAAGGCGUCCGGUGAAAACUGUGUGGCUUGGGACCGGAAGACCAAAGGGGUACGUCUGGGGUAGGAGUGAAAUCCCGUAAUCCUGGACGUACCACCGGUGGCGAAAGCGCCUCUGGAAGACGGAUCCAACGGUGAGGGACGAAAGCUCGGGUCACGAACCGGAUUAAAUACCCGGGUAGUCCGAGCUGUAAACGAUGCCUGCUAGGUUUGGCACAGGCUACGAGCCUGUACUGGGCGGUAGGAAACCCGAGAACCAGACCGCCUGGUAAGUACGUCCGCAAGGAUGAAACUUAAAGGAAUUGGGGGGGACCCAAA